rnacentral:rRNA from 1 species
CUAGAGUUUGAUCCUGGCUCAGGAUGAACGCUGGCGGCGUGCUUAACACAUGCAAGUCGAACGAUGAAGCCCAGCUUGCUGGGUGGAUUAGUGGCGAACGGGUGAGUAACACGUGAGCAACCUGCCCCUGACUCUGGGAUAAGCGCUGGAAACGGCGUCUAAUACUGGAUAUGUCCCGUCACCGCAUGGUGUGCGGGUGGAAAGAUUUUUCGGUUGGGGAUGGGCUCGCGGCCUAUCAGCUUGUUGGUGAGGUAAUGGCUCACCAAGGCGUCGACGGGUAGCCGGCCUGAGAGGGUGACCGGCCACACUGGGACUGAGACACGGCCCAGACUCCUACGGGAGGCAGCAGUGGGGAAUAUUGCACAAUGGGCGGAAGCCUGAUGCAGCAACGCCGCGUGAGGGAUGACGGCCUUCGGGUUGUAAACCUCUUUUAGCAGGGAAGAAGCGAGAGUGACGGUACCUGCAGAAAAAGCACCGGCUAACUACGUGCCAGCAGCCGCGGUAAUACGUAGGGUGCAAGCGUGUAUCCGGAAUUAUUGGGCGUAAAGAGCUCGUAGGCGGUCUGUCGCGUCUGCUGUGAAAUCCCGAGGCUCAACCUCGGGCUUGCAGUGGGUACGGGCAGACUAGAGUGCGGUAGGGGAGAUUGGAAUUCCUGGUGUAGCGGUGGAAUGCGCAGAUAUCAGGAGGAACACCGAUGGCGAAGGCAGAUCUCUGGGCCGUAACUGACGCUGAGGAGCGAAAGGGUGGGGAGCAAACAGGCUUAGAUACCCUGGUAGUCCACCCCGUAAACGUUGGGAACUAGUUGUCUGGGUCCUUUCCACGGAUUCCGUGACGCAGCUAACGCAUUAAGU